rnacentral:miRNA from 1 species
CGUCCAGGGUUUGCCUGGGACUGAGGCAUUUCCCAGGACCCUGGACUGCCAGUGCUAAAGCCAG